rnacentral:lncRNA from 1 species
CUGGGGAUGCUUUUCAGAGGAGUGAACGCGAAUGAUCACUGCGGCUGGUGCCACUACCUCAGCUGUGUUCCGACCUCCAGAUGGAGCUGUGGGAAGUGAAGAUCGGCGUGCUGACAAAAUGGACUUGAAGCCAGGAUAGAGCCCAUGGCCGCCCAUGGGACCUUUUCGAGCAAGCAUUUCCAUGAAUAGAUAGAUAUACAGCUCGCAGUCUUACUGUACAUAAUGUCACCAGGAUGUGGUUUAUAUAUGACAUUAUUUAUGCUAUCUGAUUGAUCGAUGGUUCAUUCUAUUUAUUCAGCGAGUGAAAAUUGAAAUGCCUUCAAUCUUUCGCUUGCCAGCUAUAUUUGAAAACUAGAUGCAGUUGUGUUGUUAUCAACUCCCCCGUUCUUUUUUAUUUAUCGUCAUUUAGUUAAAAAAUAAACUAGUGAGCCACAAAGAAGGUAGACCUGUCAACCACAAUCGGCCUUCCAUGAUUACUGUGGUUAUUUCAUAAUAUAAGUUAUGUGAUGCUGGUUUUCAUCUCUGGUACUUCAUUUGGUGUUCUAUUAUUUAUUGUUUUGGAUAAGAUUUGAAUCAAAUUUAUAAAACUUUGACUAACUGUUUUGUUAUUUAAGGCCUGUUUGGUUUGAUGCCUAAGUUGCCACACUUUGCCUAACUUUUCUGCAUAAGGUUAGUUCUUCAAUUCGAACGACUAACCUUAGGCAAAGUGUGGCACAUUUAGGCACGAACCAAACAGCCCCUUAGUUUUGAAACCUAAUAUUUAUAUGCAUUCGUUUGUCUUAAAAAUUACAUUUUACAAAAAAUAUAAAUGUAUUAAGAUUUUAUUUGUAUUUAAGAAAAAAAUAUUGGUCCAAUCUAUAUUUUUGGAGACUAUGUUAUUAUCCUAAGAGAUAAUUAAUAGAGCACCAGACAAUAAUUAAUAUGACGGAGGGAGGGAGUAGAGCUAUUGCAGUCGGCUACAAUCGGAGUUAUUAAAACAUGACACCAUUUGCACGCCUCCCGCAUUCCACGGAGUGCGGCUGUGGCUCCCGUCGACACGUGGCACAAGCAGCAGGUAUAGAUGGCCAAUAGUGUCGGGCUAAUCGGGCCGGCCCGGAGCACGACACGGCCCGUAGUGCCUGGGCACGGCACGACACGGGUGGAGCCGGGCCCGUGUCGGCACGGCCCUAUGGUUAGUGCCGUGCCCGGGCCGAGUGCCGAGCACGCUGGGCCGACACGGACACGACCCGAUUAGCUCUAAAGCACGAUUAUGCAUGAUUAUACCCAAGCACGACUAGUUAGCUGUGCGCUGUACUUUUUUUCCUAUCUAGGGUUUUCUCACAAUGGUGAGUUUUUACCUCGAUAGGUUUUUAAUGAGUCAGCCAUUGCACUAAACAGCUUAAUAUUAGCAAUUUUAGUAUGUUUUAACUGUGUUUGUGAAUGUCUGACUAAAAUUCUGUGGUGUAGUGCUAAAUGGGCCUACCAUGCCGGCACGACACGGCUAUUAAACGGGCCAAACGGGCCGUGCCCUAACCGUGCCGUGCCUGACUGUGCCAAGGCCGUGCCGUGCCGGGCCGCCUGUUUGGCCAUCUCUAGCAGCAGGAAAAACACCUUCCGGACCCAAGAUUUUAUUGAAUUCAGCUCUAAGCGUUCCCAAUCCUCUCUUUCUUCCCACCUCUGCCAUCUCGGUCGAGGUGGAGGAUCCGGUGGCCACGAUAUCCACACUCUUCCCCUCUCCCCCUUCCACUCCUUCCCUGUACGCUGCAUCGCGAGGGCGGCCUGCUCAAUGCCGCAAGCUGUCCCGUUUGCAUCGCGAGGGCGAUCUGCUCAAUGUCGGGAGUUGUCCUCGUCGCUAGCCAUCUUUGCCGAGGUGGGCUAGCUCGCCAUCUCCCGCCCGCGUGCUCUCGCGUCCUCCCGCUCCCGUGACCUUUUGCUCCGCGCCAUCCUGAUGUCGGUCCCACGCCCGCGAUCUUGCGAACUCGCCUCCGUGUACAGCCUCCGCUGUCGGUCCCGCGCCCGCGAUCUUGCGAACUCGCCUCCCUGUACAGCCUACGCCGCUGCAUACUUCCAUCGCCGACAUUCAGCCAUGCUCAGACCGCCGCGACCCCGUCCAACGGAGAGUAGAGAAAAUGGGAUGUGGACUGGACCUGCAGAGAAGCGCCAUGUUUCCUAGUUUCUCCCAGGAAGGGUGAACAAGAGUUGGGUCAUCUGGAGAGAGAAUUUGACGAAUCCACUGUCGGAUCGAUGCACAAUCGGUUGGUUCCUCUCACAAUUGACGAUCAGAUUCUAGAGGAUGUGUCAAAUGGUACUGAAUUCCAUGGUAAGGAUGCCUUCACUGCUUACAUGUUCAUUUGAUUGUAGCUGUAACUUCAUCUUACAACACAACACCCCCGACAUGUAUUCUGGUUCUAUUGGGAAUGCUAAAACGAAUAUCCCAGCAUGUGAGAGUGUCGCGACAGCUUGGUUGUGUCAAUUUGUUUUUAUUGCUUGUAUUUGGCCACAUACUUUUUUGUUAGUUAAAAAGAAUAGUUAUAGGUAUGGUGUGUAAUCUGAAUAACUCUUGUUCUUCCUUAAAGUAUAUUGGAAGAUUACGCCCUAUCAUUACCAUUGGGUUCAAUUGUCUCAAUGUUUUAUGCACAACACUAUAAUGAUGUUUUUUUGGCAUGCCUGAUCUUUUUGAAACAAUAGAUUGAUUGGUGAUUGUUUGAUGUCGCAAUCACGCAAAAACCUAAUUUGCAGCAAGGGUGCAGAUUUUGAGAACACUAUGUAUUCUAACUGGAAUUUGCUCGCUCAUAUACCUUGUUCUCCUGAUUUGCUCUGCUGUAAUUUAUAUGGCCAUAAUCAAUUUGGAUUUGGUUUACCAUGAAACUUGUUUUAGUUUAACAAUAAAUCUAGGUAUAUUCUUGUACUGGUUUCAGUUUGUAAUGGUUUAAAGGUCAUGGAUCAACUUUCAUAAUUCAACAAUAAAUCAUUGGCUUUAUAGUCCAAGAUUCUUUUUUUGCUGCCAGAUUUCUCUGUUCCCAGAGUUUGAUGUCUCUGUGCUUGGCAGGGAAGAUGGCUACCAUUGUUACUCGAUUGUUCCUGCGUGUCCCUGCUAUUUGUUUGACAGGAAAUUGUGCAUCGCAUUGUUGUUUGACAGAGAAUUGGCUAGGUUCACUGUAAUUUUAAGUUACAGGGUUGCACAAUGAAAGAUCCGGUUCAGUCUACAAACAACACAUGUUCAGUGUACUCUGGAAGUUGCAGUUCUGCACACUCAAACACAUGUUCAGUCAAACACAGGUUCAGUCUACAUUGCAGGUUUGGGUUAGCAGCUGAACCUUGUGCAUGUAUAUUCUGUUUUUUGUCAGGCCUUGUUGAUUAAAGUGAUUAGUUUUGUGUACUCUGGGAGAGAAACCAUUCGGUGCUUACUGGUCACUUAUUAUUAUUGUUAGAGAUAAAUUUGUGCAGCCGCAUAGGGCUUCUAUGUUUUUGGUAUGUAUGAUUCUAUUUAUGGUAGAGAUAGAGCUUGUUGCCCAUUAGGUUGUACCCAGUGCUUCGUAGUGCAAUGGUUAAUUUUACCACAUGCCUCUCCUUCUAUCAGGAUUGAUCUUUACACGUACAGUCAAUCAUAUAGGCUCCUUAACUUGACUGAGUUGUUUUGCUUAUUAAAAAUUACAAAGUGUUCCUGUUCAAGUUGGGAAAACGCCCCCAAUCUUGCAAUACUUUGGCCCAUUGCUAACUCGAGGGAAGCUCAAUGCCUUUCAGUCUCUUGAGCUAUCUCGACUUGUCGUCAAUCAGAACAAAAAUAAUCUUCUAAAAAAUUGGUUUGCAGAAGAUAAGCUGGAGGGAAGUAGUGCAGAAGAUAAUCACCUGAGUUGUUGCAGUGCUGAGCGCUGGCGAAGAAAAGUAAACAAGCGACACAAAAAAAUGACAUGUGGACGCCCAACUGCGUCGUGUGGUGGCUACGACAGAUGAAAAAUAAAAAAGCGACCUGUGAACGUCCAGCGCGUCAGCUACAAGAAAUGAAAUCAUGCGCCCAAAUUUGAAGAGUUUGUUGGAUACAUACAUCCAUUAGAAACUUGUCUAUCUUUUUUACAACCCUCCAUACUCUAAAUUUAGCAAGGAUUUAUAUCUAGGUUGUUGGAGUUGCUCUUACAAGUGUUCUUUUUUGUGUUCACAUGUGGUUAAUUAUUUUCAUGGUUGUAAGCUCCCUGCGCGCCUCGGCUGAGUCUCUCCAUCUACUUGAGGGGCAAAAGGCGCAAGGCCGGCCACACUCUCUCUCCAUGUUCCCUGUCUUUGACUCUCUGUGUGGAGUUCUCUGGUGUGUUUGCAUCGCAGGGUCAUGUCCUAGAAACACAUUUCUCUUUGAGUAGAUACAAACGAUGUAAUCAGGUUUCUACAUUAGGACUCCAUUUAGGAGUAAAGAAAGAUUGCUAGCCUGCAUCAGCUGACUCUAAAUCACAAGUUAUUUUACAGCAGAUCUGUGUGCCAGAGAAAUUGUUUACUUUUUUAUUUACAGUUUCCUACAAAACUAAUGCAUUUAGUGUGAGUGGUUGACAACUUGAAAUUUUAAUGUCAUUUAGGGUGUCAUGAUGAUACCGAUACAACUUUCUCUACUUUACUUUUAUCAGAAAGUUGUCGUUCUUAUACUGAUUUUCCACAUUAUGUCGUGCAGAUGGAGAGCAUGUAUAAGGAAUUGAGGCCAUCAAGGUUAUCGGAUCAGAUCAAGCACUUUACUGCAAUCGCUAUUCCUAAAGGCCACUAUUGACACAAUGCAGAGCUAUAGUGAUAUGAAAUUCACAUAUGUUGUAUCAUGUCAGCUUGGCUUCAUUUGUAUCACCGAUAUUUUCCUUAACACGCUCAGUUGUAGUAAGAGGGGAUCUCUUACAGAGAUGAAAAUGAGUGUAUUAAGGAUUGGGAUGAGGCAUCAUGAUAUCAACAGGCCACAUGUCAUGAUAUCAAUAGGCCUGCAAAAUUAUUCUGGUUGUUUCUUUUGUUCUCUCGGAAAAUGACAAGAUUUAUGAGGUGUGUGUAUGGUCUUCCUUCAGCAGUCACACAGCUGCAAUUGCUGCUAGAAACAAUGGGAUUCCAGUGCAAAUUAUUUGACAGUGAAUGUCUCCAUUUUUUCCUUUUCAUAAUUCACUUAUGCCAUGUGUUGCUCUUAUGCUCUCUUUUUGUGUGACUAUUAUCUCGCACUAUAGGUCAAACAAUGGACUUCAGAACACAGAACAACAAAAGAUAUCCAAGUAUAUCAGCACACAUGUUACAGAGGCUUUCCCUGUGAGAAAAGCAGGAAAGUUUGGUAACGAAAAUUGCAAGGUUAGAGUUAGAGGUUUUACCCAUUUUGUUGGACUCGUUGACACGGAGUUAGUCUUUUAUGCAGUUGGAUAUUUGGUUCGGUGCUGUCGGGUACCAUAAUUAGGGGUACCCCCAAUACUCCUAAACGCGGCUGAUAAAACACGGUUCAAGUCAGGGACUCGUCUACUAAGGGACGCAACCUCAUCCGAGCCCAGCCUCGCCUCGGGCGGGAACAGUAGUCUCGGGCAGAUUCACGCCUCGCCCGAGGGCUUCCUCAUGCAGUGAGCGCACCCUCGGCUCGCCUGAAGCCCAGCUUGGGCGAACUUCGUCGUGCAGCGACCUCGGCCGGAUCGCCCUCCCAACCGACCGUAUCGCAUGCGCAUUAAUGCAAAGAUCGCCUAACACCUUAUCCUGACACGUGUGCCUCAGUCGGCAAGGUCGAAGUGACCGCAGUCACUUCGCCCUUUACUGACCGAUCUGACAGAAAACAGCGCUAUUCACCCCGCAACGGCUACUGUGCCAACCACCAGGGCAAGACUAGCAACAGUAAGUCGUGACCUCUCUCGAGUUCAGCCUCGGGCGCAGCAGGGAGCUCCGCCUCGCCCGACCUCAGGCCUCGCCCUCAGCCUCGGCCUCGGGAGAAGGUCUCCGCCUCGCCCGACCCCAGGCCUCGGCCAUAGCCUCGGCCUCGGGAGGAGUCACAGCCUUGCCCGACUCCAGCCUCGGCCUCAGGAGAAGUCUCCGCCUCGCCCGACCUAGGCCUCGGAUCGACUACGCUACAGGGGAGGCAUCAUUACCCUACCGCUAGCUAGCCAUCCUUUGCUACGAAGGAACAAGACCGGAGUCACAUCAAACUACUCCGAUAGCAGGUAAUGAUGGUUCCCCGCGUGCAUCCAUGACGUCGAGGGUUCUCAGCUCCCUACGGAAGCAAGACAACGUCAGCAGGAUCCAUGCCGCCGACAGCUGUGCUUCUACAGGGCUCAAGGCACUUCUCCGACGGCCACGUAGCUCGUGUACAGGGCUCAAGGCACUUCCCGCCAGCCACGUAGCGCAUAGCUACACCCCGUUGUACAGCUGGACAUCUCCUUGCAUCUAUAAAAGGGGAUGUCCAGGGCCUUCCUAAGGCACGGGGCAACACGUACGUGGAGAUAGGUUCACGUUGACACACGUUCACGUGGACACACGUUGACAACGGGGUCUCUCUCUCUCACUCUCGCCCACGCUCUCUCGCGAUGCUUGUAACCCCUACUACGAGCACCCCGGUGCAGGAUAACAUAAGCCUCAUUUUCCUCUUGUGUUCCAUCUUGCAUCAACCCAUCUGGGCAGGGGCACGCAACAACAAAUUCACUGGUUGGCUGACGGACCUCGCGGGUUCGAAACGCCGACAGGUGCUAAGUGUGAAUACCCUACAUGAUGCCUUAUAGAAUAUCGUGAAGGUUUUCUAAGUCUGUUGAUUCUACAACAACCUCAAGUUUUGCACCAUCUUCACUAUAAUGUAAUGAUUUGGUUGCAGAACUUUAGGUUCAAUCUUUUCAUUGUUAUUAAGUUCUUACUCGGAUUGUUUAUCAUAAUUCAGGGGUCAUGGCGACUCUGCUAAGUUGGACACUUUUGUUCCAUCCAUGGAGGCUGCAAAACCAGGUUUCAAGGAAGUUGAGAAAUGGAGUGAAAAAUGCUUUGUGGAGUGUAUCUGAGCUUCAUGUUGGCGAUGAGAAGCAGACUGGUUCUAACAAAUUUGUAUCACCUCUAGAUUUUGCCUCAAAGACUAGCUUGCAGUUUGUUUCAUUGUCACCAGUCAAGUGUGGGUGUUGCACUAGCUUCUCUUGCUGUUGUGUAUCGAAAAUUUUGCCAGUUAGAGAAAUUGUAUUAAUAUUAUGUCUAUGUUGUCUGAACCUAUAACAUUUCCUUAGGUUGGAAUUAUGUUCUAUUAUUUCUGCAUUUUAGAGCUGAUGCAUUUACUGCUUUGGCAGCCAUAAGUGUACAUCUUUUUUAAAGUAGCAUGCUGAAGGUUGCAAAGCUAAAUUGUCUGUUGUUCAAUGAAAACAACACUCUUCAACCAAAAGGGUCCUAGAUAUUUUUUAAUAUUUUGUGGAGUAAAGUAGACCGAUCAUUUAAUUUUGUGUAGGGGAUAAUUAUCUUAACUUUUUCAUUAAUUGGGUUAUACCGUACCAUAUCAAGGUUAGCCGAGGAUACGACCGCUAUGACAUUUGUUGGCAGAAAUCAUAACAAGACACGGUGAGUCCGAGUAAUAUGUAUAGCUCAUCCAAUGCAUGAACACCUUUGCACUUUUACAUCUAUGGCACUUUGGUUACUUGCUUUCUUUGUGUUCUGGCUUUCCUGGUAGCAUGGGAGAUGAUUUGAUCAUCAAUAUGUCUAAUUCAAAGGGCAGGUCCUAUGGUCGUGUUGUUGCCCAAGUUGCUAUAAUGGCUGGGAGUCUAUUAGAUUUACAAACCAUUUUGCUAUUUGUUUAUCAAAGUUGAGUGUGAUAUGCUUUUAUUUUACAAUUGGUUGUUCUUUCCAUAUAUUUUGGCACAACAAGGAAGCUCUCAGGCUAAAUAUUUUGUCUCACGCCUCAAGGCCUGAUCCCAGCACAUGAGCAAGUAUUUUGUACCUGUGAACCUUACAAUUUGAUUUGUCUGAAUCUAUUGCAACUAUAUGGUCUAACGAAACAAGUUGUCCUGCUACUGCCCAGUUUGUUAAAAAGAAGAACUUUUUCUGGUUUUCAGGAGUCAAGGUUUUCUCAAUUGCAGAUGCUCGCUUGCUGCUAUGUGAUCCAAACCCCAUAGGGCGAGGGCGCCUGAAUGGUCGCUGCACGGAAUUAGGCCAUAGCCUACAUCAGCCGACCAACUGUCUUGCGUGCAAUACCCUUAUGCUACCGUCCUAGUGGAACAAUUGUUGGAUACUUGGAUUUAUGGGAUUUAACUAAUUGAAAAAUUUAAUUAAAUCUUAAAUUUUUUACAAAAGCCCAUGUAUGAUAAGGGAGAUAGUUAUUCAAUCGUGACCUUAUCGGAUCACGAUUUGAUCGGAACGUGAGCUUAUCGUUCAUGGACGUGGUCCUAUAUAAUGCGACUGUCACCCCUUACUAGAGACUAUCUCAUCUCUUCUACGAGUUAGGUUUGCCUCUGCUUACUGCUGCACGCUGCUGUGGUCUUCUUCGUCCCAAGCAGCGAUGUGCAUUUGCGCUUGGGAGAGUAGGUCUCCGGAACCCGCUGCCUUCGAGAUCGUGCACCCGAAGAGGGGAAUACAUUUUUUGGUAAGCGUCUUCACGCGACUGCUCACGUUCUUCUCGUUGACCUGCUUCUUCGAUGUUGUUGAUCCUGCUGCUUCGACCCACAUACCAGUAUAUCUGAUCGGUAUGCAUCAUCUGAUUUAACCUCGUACUCCAGUUUCAUCUUUAUGGUAGAGGUGUGCUGUGUUUUUAAUUAUGCUGUUAGAUAAUGUCAGGGACCAUAAUUAGGGGUACCCUCAAGGCUCCUAAUUCUCAGCUGGUAACCCCCAUCAGCAUGAAGCUGCAAAGGCCUGAUGGGCGUGAUUAAGUCAGGGAUCAGUCCAUUCGAGGGACUCGAUCACGCCUCGUCCGAGCCUAGCCUCGGACAAGGGCAGCCGACCCCGGAGGAUUUCCGUCUCGCCCGAGGCCCCCUCCAGCAGCGAACAUAUUUCCGGCUCACUCGAGGCCCUGCCUUCGCCAAGAAGCAACCCUGACUAAAUCGCCGCACCGACCGACCAAAUUGCAGGAGCAUUUAAUGCAAAGGUGGCCUGACACCUUUAUCCUGACGCGCGCCCCCGGCCGGAAGAGCCGAAGUGAACCGCCGUCACUUCACCGCUCCACUGACCGGCCUGACAGAAGGACAGCGCCGCUGCGCACUCCGACUGCGGUGCCACUUGACAGAGUGAGACUGAACAGGCAGUCAGGCCCUGCCGAAGGCACCAUAGGAAGCUCCGCUUCGCCCGACCCAGGGCUCGGACUCGGGCUCAGCCCCGGAAGACGGCGAACUCCCGCUCCGCCCGACCAGGGCUCGGACUCGGGCUAAGUCCCGGAAGACGGCGAACUCCGCUCCGCUCGACCCAGGGCUCGGACUCGGGCUAAGUCCGGAAGACGGUGAACUCCGCUCCGCCCAACCAGGGCUCGGACUCAGGCUCAGCCCGGAAGACGGCGAACUCCGCUCUGCCCGACCAGGGCUCGGACUCGGGCUCAGCCCGGAAGACGGCAAACUCGCUCGCCCGACCAGGCUCGGACUUGGCUCAGCCCAGAAGACGAUGAACUCCGCUCCGCCCGACCCAGGGCUCGGACUUGGGCUCAGCCAUAGAAGACGACAAACUCCGCUCAGCCGACCCAGGGCUCGGACUUGGGCUCAGCCCUAGAAGACGACGAACCCGCCUCGCCCGACCCAGGGGCUCGGAUCGACCUCGGCCAUGGAAGACAGACUCGUUUUCGGCUUCGGAGGAGCUUCCUCAUCGCCCAACCUAGGGCGCAGACCAGCCACGUCAACAGGAGGCGCCAUCAUCACCCUACCCCGAGCUGACUCGGGCCGCAGGAACAAGACCGUGUCCCACUGGCUCGCUCCGCCAGAUAGGCAAUGAUGGCGCCCCGCAUACUCUGUGACGACGACGACUCUCAGGCCCCUUACGGAAGCAAGAGGACGUCAGCAAGGACUCGACCGCUCCGACAGCUGUCCCUCCGCCAGGCUCCAUCGCUCCUCCGACGGCCACGACAUCACACCAGCUGGGUGCCAAAAUCUCUCCGACUACCACAACGGCAUGUACUUAGGGCGCUAGCUCUCCUCCGCUAGACACGUAGCACUCUGCUACACCCCCACAUUGUACACCUGGAUCCUCUCCUUACGCCUAUAAAAGGAAGGACCAGGGCCCUCUUAGAGAAGGUUGGCCGCGCGGGGACGAGGACGAAACAGGCGCUCGCUUGGAGCGCUCGUUCCCUCUCCCGCGUGGACGCUUGUAACCCCUACUGCAAGCGCACCCGACCUGGGCAUUGUACACCCGCGCACACAAGGCCGCGGGAUUCCCACCUCUCUCACGCCGGUCUCCGGCCGCCUCACUCUCCCCCUUCGCGCUCGCCCUCGCGCUCGACCCAUCUGGGCUGGGGCACGCGACGACAUUCACUCGUCGGCCCAGGGAUCCCCCGGUCUCGAAACGCUGACAGUUGGCGCGCCAGGUAGGGGCCUGCUGCGUGUUGACGAACAGCUUCCCGUCAAGCUCCAGAUGGGCAGUCUCUAGCAACCUCUCCAACCCGGGACGGUGCUCCAUUUCGGGAGUCUUGAGUUCAUGUCCUCAACGGCAGCUACGACAUGGUACUCCUUCCACCGCCGCGCGACAACGACAAUGGCGGCCGCAGCCCGCCCGCCGGCAGCGGAAUCGACGACGUCUUCCCCGCGUGGUGGAAGAACAACCUUCGAGCUCAUCCCGCCUCUUCCCCCCGACGGAGGGGAAGGCAGGGCAACCAAGGCCAAGCAGGAGGCAGCGCUCGUCGGCUGUCGAGCGAGUCGACAGUGUCGGCACCCCAAUGGGGGCGCACCGGGUAUCGACUUCGCGCUUGAGACGAAGACGAGCGCCGACUCCCCGCGACACGCCGAUCCCGAGCAAGCGGACGACGCCAGCGCGCUCGCGAAAAGCUCGCUGGAUGUCACCCUCGUACCUGAGACGACGGUGCAGUCAGUCCCCGACGUGACUUAUCGCCGCUCGUCGACCAAGAGGUACCCGACCGAUUCCAUCCACGUCAUUUGGAUUCAGCCUCAACCGCCUAGCGACUCGCUUUGGCGGGCGCUCUCGUAGAAGCGAGUCAAACCCUCUGGGGUUUCGCAUGCGGUCGCCUGGGACCGGCUGACAACGUCUCGACCUACGGGCCUCUGGGUCCGAGGAAGACGACGAGCCCAGCAUCUGUUGGGAUUUCUCUGGACUUGGCAACCCUAGUGCCAUGCGGGACUUCAGACCGCAUGUACUACUACCUCUCCGACUGUUCGACGGUCCGCAGCCUCGGCGACGAGGGCUGCGGCCCAAGCCGCGAAUGUUUCACGUCGAUUUAGGGGGUCCCUCUGAAGGCAAUCAUCUCGGCAUGCCGGAGGACGGUGAUCUCCCUAGGCCGGCGCCCCGCGUUGACAUCCGCGGGAGCUACUGUGGUCCGUUCAGGCGGGGGGCCAUGACCACCAGCUCGAGCAAAUCCGCGGGGUGCAGGCCAGGCUCGACGAGGGAAUAGGAGCGCUUGAGCCGAUCCGCCGGACGUCGGGCAGGCAUGGGCGGGCCACCCCGGCCGGAGAAAUACGUCAUCUGCCCAGGGUUCCAGCACCGCGUCGCCGACGACGUCGGGGCAGGCCANNNNNNNNNNNNNNNNNNNNNNNNNNNNNNNNNNNNNNNNNNNNNNNNNNNNNNNNNNNNNNNNNNNNNNNNNNNNNNNNNNNNNNNNNNNNNNNNNNNNCAUAUUUGUUCGACAUUGAUACCUUGAAGUUGGGAGGCCAUUGGAUGGCCCUAAGGCGUGGAGUAAGAGCGGAUACUCCGCACGUGUCCUCCUGUCGUCGGGGAUGACGUCUGUCCCGGGGAGGGAGUGGUGGUGGUGGUUCCUCGACCGUCCCCGGUGGUACCGCCAGUUGAAGCUGUUGCCGACUCAGUCCUGGUGGCCUGGCUUUGAGUCGGGAAGCCGUAUCUCGGUCAUACUCCUCCCGACGGCGAAUUUCGUUCCCAUCCGCCGUUCGCGCAAAGCAUGAUGGAGCUUCGCGCGUCUCGCGACUGUUGAUGGCGUGUCACAAAUCGUUCGCGGGUGAGCGAGCGGUAGAAGAUGGUUGGCCGCCUAAGUGAACAGGCGUCGAUAUCCCUCGGCGUCGGGAGUCCGUCAGCUAUCCGAGCUAGAACGCCUCCGACCUCGCUCGCGUGUCAUAGCUCGGGCGAAGUCGGGUCAGGUGCGCCCGAAGAGCGGAUUCUCCCGGCGUUGCCUUGCAUCUUGCUGGCUUGCUCCUGAGUCCGUCGGCGAUCACGUCGUCGGGAGUUCCUUCGUUCCCUGAAGAUGCGUUCUUCCGGAGUUUCCCCUAUCCUGAGACCUCAUCUCGCGAGACAGGCUGCUCCGGAUCCCGUUCUCCGCCGCGUGAUGUCGCGAACGUUCCUGCGUCGGUUCCUCCGUCGGCGGAUCUCGCUGAGGUGGUUCUUCUCCAGGCACGGUCGGUUCGUCGUCAAGAUGGCGGGUGACUCCAUCUCCCGAUGAAGAGGAUGUCGGGGUAGAACGGUACUGCUGUUGUGGCGACUUUCUUCCGUUCUCCUUUGAGGUCAGAGGAACGGAAGAACGACUGCCUCCCCUGGUCUCCUUCCUCGCGAUCCGUGUCCAUUCCUUCGUCGGGGAAGUAGACAGCGGAGUCUUCCGGGUCAGCGAGCUUCCAGCUCCAGCCUUCCCGGAGAUAAUCUUUUCCGAAGAGCCGGAGGUAGCGUCUUUCCAGCAUUUUCGGAGUUGUUGGAGGAGACUUCUUUUCCGGCAGAUCCGCGAGGCGGUGUAGAAUUCCCUCUUCAUCCGCUACAGAUGAGAUUGUCCCGAAGCAGAAUACAGAUCCGGGACGCACGGUGAUCUUGCUGUGGAAGGUGACGGCCAUUGAGCUAGCUUGGAUCGUCGACACACCCCCUACCUGGCGCGCCAGCUGUCGGUGUUUUGGGUCCGACCGCACACCCGGGGUUGCCCCUCAAGGUGUUUUUAGGAGUAGGGCGGUGUCGACGACUGUAGCAAAAUGGUUCGUGCCGAUCGCACGAGGGACAGUGGACAAGGUUUACAGGUUCGGGCCGCUUAGAGAUGCGUAACACCCUACGCCUGGUGAGUAUAUGAGCGAGGUUACAAGAGGACUCUCUGGAUUGAGGGCGCAGAGAGUUUACGUGGGUGGCAAAGUGAAACAGGGUCGAUCGUUCUGAAGGGGUGCCCCCUAGGCCUUAUAUACUCGACCGUGGGGCAGUACAUGUGGAUAAGAUAACAACAAGUAGCUAAAAAAUAGUGAACCUCUUGAGAUUAUCUCUACGUAACCCUCGCCGACUUAUCCUCGCAUGGUUCGUUGCAUGGAGGCUCCAGCACGGGAAAGUCGGAUCUCUGUUGCGGUCAUUCGCUUGACGCUGUGGGCCGUCCGUGUUUGCACCAAUCCGGCCUUAGUCUUUCUGCUUUGCUGGUUGUUUCUCCCCAGCCCACGAAAGGAUGACCUUACGAAUUAUUAGGCCCUUGGGCCUUUCGUGAGGUCCUUUACUCUUUAGUGGACCCGGGGGAUAUCUAUCCCCCACAGCAGGUUGACAUGAGGCCGGAUUGGUGCGACCCGGACGGCCCACAACGUUGAGCGAGCGACCACAACAGAGAUCCGACUUUCCCGCGCUGGAGCCCCCAUGCAACGGAGCCAUGCGAGGAUAGGUCGGCAGAACUAUAGGGAGAUAAACUCAAACAGUUCACUAUCUUUUAGUUACACAUUGUAUCAUAUCCACGUGUAUUGCCCCACGGUCGAGUAUAUAAGCCUAGGGCACCCCUUCAGAACAAUCGACCCUAUUACUCAGCCACCCACCUCAACUCUCUGCAUUCUCAAUCAGUGAGCUACCUUGUAACCUCAUUCACCAAGCAUACUCACCAGGACGUAGGGUGUUACGCAUCUCUAAGCGGCCCGAACCUGUAAACAUUGUUCACUGUCCCUCGUGCACCUGGCACGAACCAUUUUGCUACAGUCGUCGACACCGUCCUACUCCUAAAAACACCUUGAGGGGCAACCCCGGGUGUGCGGUCGGACCCAAAACACCGACAGGGCUGUGGUAGCUUCCUAGCUCCUGCGCCGGUGGAGACGGCGAUGAGCUUGGGGGCACGAGGGAGAGGGACGACGCCAUUGGUCCCUCUUCCGCUUCCGUAAGGCCGGGAAGGAGAUGAGCCAAGGUCGAUGCUCGCCACCGUCGCGGUCGCCGGCGGGACGACGACGGCUGCCGUGACAAGGACGGCGAGGAGGAUUCCCCAACUGCAGGGCUGCACCAUAGCUUGUGGCUACUGGCUGCCGCUCAAUGCAAUGGCAUGUGGGAGGGGUUAGGGUUUGGAGAUGUGGGGUGUGGGGUGCUUGAGGAGCGCACUGUGUACGAGGGGAAGGUAGGUUGGGUGAGCGGGUUCCCGACGGGGGCUGCGCGCGUGGAGACGGUUGGGGUGCGACCGUGGUCGACCUUGGGACGACGGCAGGGAGGGGAGGGACGGAGCUGUUGCUGCGUCACGAUUUGCCCCUUCCCGAGAUCGCCGCCUUCCACACAGGCUUCAUCCACACCCAGUUGCAUCCCCCCGCCGACCAAGCCCCAGCCGACGCCGCUUUUACUUGUUCGGUGCCGAGCACGAAGGAGAAGCAACUGACACCGAGGCGAAGGUUUCGGGAGGGGAGGCUAUUCUUUUUCCUGUUCGACGACUGUGUGGGGUUAGGGAGGAAGCCGACUGUCUUGCGGGGAAGGUGCGGCCACGGUGUGCGGUUAGCGUGGGCACGGACGACUGUGGCUCACGCGGAGGGGGAGACGAGCGAGGGGGAUCUGGGGGCGACGCACGCGGGCGGGGUAGGGUCAUAGGAUGACGAUCCAGGUAGCAGCAACAGGACAGACGGUUCAGAUUUACAGAAGGCAGAACAAGGGAAGGCAGGCUACCCUUGCAGCCUUAAUAUAGUAGUAUAGAUUGGUAGAAGGUUUUUUUAACGAUGCAGUCAUUGCACAGCUCUAGCAACUUAAUAGAAACAUUAAGUUUUCUUUUGGUCAAAUUUGUUGCCUUAUCUUUAAUUAUUUUGUAUUAAAUUUGUUUUAAUUUUGGGCUUUGAUGUGAAUUCCAGGCUAGAAUUGAUUUUCAAAUAUAUUGUAAUUUUGGUCCUCCCAAAAUAAGUUUGGUACGUUAAGCAUCCACAUGCCAGGCCAUAGACCAAGGACUAAGCCCAUGACUGAUUCGGCACGACCCAUAAUAAUUACGAACCGUGCUGAACCAAAAAUUCAAACGUGUCGAAUCUUUUCAGACUUGGAUCGAGCCAGAUCGAGCGGGGCCAAAUGUACACCAAUAUGCGUAUUGCCGGGAAACAAAGGAGCGGGUCCUUCCACAUCGAACUAAAGUCGCACGCUCAUCCAAUGUCGUGCAAUAGUCUUCAAUAGGAACACUGAAAUCUGGUUUCAAAGCAUCGCUUAUAGGUACGGGCCUGAUGGACUGACCUAAAGCACGGGAAAAAUACAACCCAGACGAUUCGAAAAAUUUUAGUGCUAGACUAGGUUUGGGCCACGGGCGGGCACGUGCACGACCCAUUUAAGACAGUCACAGAAUAGCUCGUAUAGAGGCAAAAAAGACUCAUAUAUUCAUUAAAACCACACUUAAUUCCACGGUUUCAUGUGCUUGAUAAAGAAUACAAAGUUAGAGAUGAUUCUAGUUAGAUGUUUUUUUUUGCAGCUUUGAAUUAGAGUAUGUGAUGCAAUUUUACUUUUGUUAUGAACAUUAGACCAUGAACUGAACCUACGAACUCUGUAUGGACCUGGUUAUGCUUUUUUCUUCUAACAAAAGGAUUUUUUUAACAAGGUGGUCAUUGCAUAGCUCGAAUAACUUAAUAGAAAUAUUAAGUUUUCUUUUGUUAAAUUUAUGUCUUUUUUAUUAAAUUUGCUUUAAAUUUUGGGCUCUAAUACGAAUUUUAGGCUAGAAAUUGAUUUGCGGACCCAGAAAUUGAAUUUUGGGUUAAAAAUUGGAUUUCAGGUAUUUUAUAAUUUCGAUCCGCUCGAAAUAAGACUGACACGUUUAAGUAAUUAACUGUCAGGGUAUAGGCUGAGGGCUAGGCCCGACACGGCUCAAAAUAAAUACGGACCGGGUCAGCUAGAACUUAUAAUUUGUGAUGGUAUUGUAAUUUAUAAUUUUUGAUGGUGUAUAGGCGGUUCGGUUUAGAUUUUGAUGGCACUGAGAGGAUUUUUCUGAUAGACGCUGAUGUGUCCCCAGACUCGGAGGGACGUUGUAGGCCAUCCCCUGCUUGGCUCGGGUCGUCGUCGUCGUGCGCAUCCGCCUUGCCGUUUAGGCCACCACGAAAACAAGCUGGGCCGCCGUGCCCGUGCCGCGGAAACAACGCGCCAAGGAGGGCCACUUCUGUUUCUCUGCUCCUUUGCCCCCUCCUUCCUGCCUUCCCGUCCCGCUGCGUGGCGUCUGCCGUCUCCGUCUGGCGUGGCUCGGUACGGGUAGCGGGGUAGGUAGGCUAGGCCGAACGCAGUCUCGCACCGCGCCGGCAUCCGAAUCCGACGCACACAAUAAUAUGCACGGAUCGGACGGGAGCGUGCGGCCGUGACAACUGUGUCCGUCACACUUACACAUGGGUCGCGCCAGUACAGUGCACAGCACAGCUUGCAAGCGCGUCCCGGGACCAUGUGAUAGUAGUUAUUAACGUGCGUUUCGUUUCCAAAUAAAAUUAUAUCCACUUUUUCGUGUGACCGCAAAUGAAAAGCACGUCCCCCAUUUUAUAAAGUUAUUUAUCUAUUUAAAAUGCAAUACCUUUUUAAAGUAAGCGUUUAUUUUGGGUUCUGUUUGUACCAUUGUGUGUUCAUUAUGUUGAGAUCUAUAAAAGUAGGUCCACAGUGCCUAUGUUUUGAAGCAGUUUAAAUGUGAUUAUAAAGUUUUGUAUGGUACAUUUUUUUUGAAAUAUGAUAGUAACUAUAAAGUCCUAGAACCAGGUGUGUCCAAAGUUUCGAAUCACAAAAAUCUCAUUUUAGAUGUACAGAGUUUUGGAUGUUAGGGUGAAAUUGGAAUAGACUAAUACUACCCCCUUCUUAAAUAUAUGACGCCGUUAACUGUUUUUUUUAAAACUUUGACUACUCGUCUUAUUCGAAAAAAUUGUGAAUUAUCAUUUAUUUUGUUAUGAUUUAUUUUAUCACUUAAGGUUUCUGAGCAUGAUUUAAAAUUUUACAUUUUUGAAUAAAUAUUUUAAAUAAAACGAGUGUCAAAGUUUUUUUUAAAAAAAAGUGAAUGGCCUUAUUUAUUUAAGAAGGGAUGGAGUUUAAACUUCCUGAAUUUAGGUGCGAAGUUUUAGAUUAUCUAAGAUGCAAUAUAAAAAUUCAUGGAUCUGUUGGCCCAAGCAUUUCCACGUUUAUUUAUGGUUGACAGGUAAUAAUAGAUCACAAUUUAAUAGAAGAAAUGAUUUACGUCUAUUACUUGUGCAUUAAUAAUUAUACUCCACAUUUAACUGUGCCUGUAUGUCGCUCCGCAUUUAACCGGGUCAGGGCGCAACUCAUGCGUCGCUAUGAGCGUACGUACAAGCGCGGAGUAAUAGAGUCGGUUCCGGUGCCGCGUGCGGCGUGCCUGCCCGAGCCGUGAAGCCGUGUCGCGCCGACAAGUUGGGUCACGGCCAGCUCGCCCCCUGACCUUCCGCCUCCCUGCCAGGUGCCAGCUCGCACAGUUGCACACCCACAAAACGCGCCGGAGACAACGCACGUAACUGCCGAGAAGCCGAAGUCCGAACGCCGCCCACCGGCAUCCGCCAAGUGCGGCCGUUUAUAUACUUGCACGCCUCCCCUCCCCUCCAGCCUCCCCUUGCACGACGUCUCCACCACUACACCACACCUCAAGUCCACAACACCACCAGCCUCGUCUCAGCCGCUUCAGCAUACCACACCGCACGCAAACCCACCGCGCGCUACGACCACCACCGUCACCAUGGCCGCCGCGCGCUACGACGUGGAGAAGGGCGGGAGGAAUAACGGGGAUGGGAAGCCUUCGCCGCCGCCGCCGGGCCACCUGUACCCGCAGCGCGACGGGGAGAGGGAGUGGGUGCCGUGGUUGGUGCCGCUCGUCGUGGCCGUCAACAUCGUGCUCUUCGCCGUGGCGAUGUACGUCAACAACUGCCCGGCCCACGCCGCCUCGUCUCGCCGCGGCGGCGCCGGAUCAUGCGUCGCCCGCGGGUUCCUCCACCGCUUCUCGUUCCAGCCGCUCAGCGAGAACCCGCUCCUCGGGCCCUCGUCGGCCACGUGAGUGCUCAAGGCCCCCUAGAUCCGUUUCCUGCCUUUUCUUCAGUUAUCAGUGUUGCGCAUCUUCUCCGUUAGAUCGGUCGGUAUCACAUAGAUAGAGAAAAAAGAUUCCAUAACCGACUCCGCCCUAGUAUCUCUGAUUGUUCUUCCAUUCAAGGAUUACAAGUUUAUUUUUCCCACAGUAAACGCUACUCGAAAUUGUUCGCAUGCCAUGUGUACGAUUUCUCAUAUCAGACCACCGCCACCUUCUUCCCCGCAGGCUGCAGAAGCUGGGAGCGCUUGUAUGGGACAAAGUUGUGCGGGAGCACCAGGGGUGGAGGCUCGUCACCUGCAUCUGGCUGCACGCCGGUGUUGCCCACCUCCUGGCCAACAUGAUCAGCCUCGUGCUCAUCGGGCUCAGACUGGAGCAACAGUUUGGAUACGGUAAUGCGCAGCUAGCUGUAGGAACUUAUUAACCUACUCAUCCCCACCCAGUAUGGCCGGAUCAUGUACUAGGAGGGCUUUAUCUGAUCUGGAUGUGCGUUCCCGUUUUCGUUGCAGUGAGAGUUGGCAUCAUCUACCUUGUCUCUGGCGUCGGAGGCAGCGUGCUUUCGUCUCUGUUCAUCAGGAACAACAUCUCUGUCGGCGCUUCCGGAGCUCUGUUCGGGCUCCUUGGGGCCAUGCUGUCGGAGCUCUUCACCAACUGGACCAUCUAUGCAAACAAGGUGAUGCAUAGCUUCCCUCCUCGGUCCUAAACAUCGCAAUGUGGAUCUUUGGGCAGAAAAUGUGGGUUGGGAAUUAAAUCGCAGCUCACUGAAGUUGUAACGUCCAAUCUGCAGGCUGCAGCCCUGGUGACCCUGCUGGUCGUCAUCGCCAUCAACCUCGCCAUCGGCAUCCUCCCGCACGUCGACAACUUCGCGCACAUCGGAGGGUUCCUCACCGGCUUCCUCCUCGGGUUCGUCUUACUGAUGCGCCCGCACUACGGCUGGAUGCAGCGCUACGCCCUGCCCUCCGACGUCAAGUACACCACCAAGAAGUACCUGGCCUACCAGUGGGCUCUGCUGGCCGUGGCCUCGGUCCUCGCUGUCAUCGGGUAAGCAUCGCAUCACAUGCUGGUGCCUCCUCUUUCUGAGAGUAGGAGUACGAGUACUAGCUCAAAUAUCUUAAUGCUCGUGCCAUAAUGCUAAUCUAAUGCCAUCCUGUCAGCUUUCGUCUCACCACCCCAAAAGGAAAAAAAUAAAGUUCUCUCACUUUGGUCGGUUUGACUGAAUUUAAACUCAUGUGUUGCACAGGUUCGCCGUAGGGCUGGGGAUGCUUUUCAGAGGAGUGAACGCGAAUGAUCACUGCGGCUGGUGCCACUACCUCAGCUGUGUUCCGACCUCCAGAUGGAGCUGUGGGAAGUGAAGAUCGGCGUGCUGACAAAAUGGACUUGAAGCCAGGAUAGAGCCCAUGGCCGCCCAUGGGACCUUUUCGAGCAAGCAUUUCCAUGAAUAGAUAGAUAUACAGCUCGCAGUCUUACUGUACAUAAUGUC